AUUUUCUUUUUCUAGGCAAUUAACUCCCUAUUGUUUCUGUUACCUAGGUAAAUCAAAGACCAGAAGAGGCAGUCUGGGAUCCUAAGCAUACCAUGAAAAGGUGGUGCUUAGGACAGCAGAAUGACUGUCUACCCCAAAAGUGGCAGCAGUGACCGCUGCCUCCUCUCAAGAGCAGAAGGAAUCUCAUCUCCCUCCUCUCACAAAGGCAGGGGUGGCAGCAGAGGCACCCAGGAUCCAUCUUUUCCAUAGUCCGAAGGCUGCUUUGCAGGUUCUCCUAUGGGAAAAGGCCUUCCAUCCUGGCUGCCAGCCUCUGCUGUGUCCCAGAAGCUCCCCAGCAGGAUGAGGAAAGAACUGGCAGCAUAGAGCAGACUGCCUAAUGCUGCCCUGCUCUAAAUGCCUCAAACCUGACAUGGAGGAAGCACCUAUGUGAGCAAGAGAGUUAUUCAAGGCCACAGACACCACCAGCACCUGUAUAUUAAACCCAAUAACCAAAAUGGGACCAAAGUAUUACAGACCGCAGGACACUAGACUACAGUACAGACCCAUUUACGCAUGGAUGUUGGGAGUCAAGCCAUCAUGACCGUGUAUUUAUGGACCGCGGGUUAAGAGGGCCAUGCUGAAAUAUCACAAGAUAUCCAUAUAUACAUGUAUA